UACAGGGGGGGCAAGCGUUGUUCGGAAUUACUGGGCGUAAAGGGCGCGUAGGCGGCCUGUUAAGUCGAACGUGAAAUCCCCGGGCUCAACCCGGGAACUGCGUCCGAUACUGGCAGGCUUGAAUCCGGGAGAGGGAUGCGGAAUUCCAGGUGUAGCGGUGAAAUGCGUAGAUAUCUGGAGGAACACCGGUGGCGAAGGCGCAUCCUGGACCGGCAUUGACGCUGAGGCGCGAAAGCCAGGGAGCAAAGCGGG
rnacentral:rRNA from 1 species